rnacentral:rRNA from 1 species
AACGAACGCUGGCGGCAUGCCUAACACAUGCAAGUCGAACGAGACCUUCGGGUCUAGUGGCGCACGGGUGCGUAACGCGUGGGAACCUGCCCUUAGGUUCGGAAUAACUCACCGAAAGGGGUGCUAAUACCGGAUAAUGUCUUCGGACCAAAGAUUUAUCGCCUUUGGAUGGGCCCGCGUUGGAUUAGCUAGUUGGUAGGGUAAAAGCCUACCAAGGCGACGAUCCAUAGCUGGUCUGAGAGGAUGAUCAGCCACACUGGGACUGAGACACGGCCCAGACUCCUACGGGAGGCAGCAGUGGGGAAUAUUGGACAAUGGGCGAAAGCCUGAUCCAGCAAUGCCGCGUGAGUGAUGAAGGCCUUAGUGUUGUAAAGCUCUUUUACCCGGGAUGAUAAUGACAGUACCGGGAGAAUAAGCUCCGGCUAACUCCGUG